rnacentral:rRNA from 1 species
AAGGACUUUGAGAAGAGAGUUAAAAGUGCCUGAAAUUGCUGAAAGGGAAGCGAAUGGAACCAGUGCAGCUUGGCAAGAUUGUUA